AUACGGAGGGUCCAAGCGUUAUCCGGAUUCAUUGGGUUUAAAGGGUCCACAGGCGGGAAAAUAAGUCAGUGGUGAAAGCCUACAGCUCAACUGUAGAACUGCCAUUGAAACUGUUUUUCUAGAGUAUAGAUGAAGUGGGCGGAAUAUAUCAUGUAGCGGUGAAAUGCAUAGAUAUGAUAUAGAACACCGAUUGCGAAGGCAGCUCACUAAACUAUUACUGACGCUCAGGGACGAAAGCGUGGGGAGCGAACAGGAUUAGAAACCCUUGUAGUCC
rnacentral:rRNA from 1 species